CCUGUGCAUCGCUCCGUCGCUCCGUGCCGCAAGGUGCGGGGAGGAAAGUCCGGGCAGCGUAGGGCAGCGUGCUUCCUAACGGGAAGGGGGCCAUUUGGUGACGGGUGGUCCAUGGAAAGUGCCGCAGAAAGGGAAACCGCCGAUCCACCGCAAGGUGGAGGCAAGGAUGAAAAGGUGGGGUAAGAGCCCACCAGUGUUCCUGGUGACAGGGCAGCUUGGUAAACCCCACGCGCUGAAAGACCAUGUAUACCGGGUGUUCCGUAUUGCCGGAACGUGGAAAGCCCGUCCUCCCGAUGCAUUUCGGGAUCCGGAGGGUAGGUCGAUAGAUCCCGUCGGCAACGGCGGGGCCAGAUAGAUGGCGGAGACCCAAGGUGGGGACAGGACCCGGCUUAUAGAUGCACAGGCCUU
rnacentral:RNase_P_RNA from 1 species